rnacentral:rRNA from 1 species
GACGAACGCUGGCGGCGUGCUUAACACAUGCAAGUCGAACGAAGUGGCGAACGGGUGAGUAACGCGUAAUCAACCUGCCCUUCAGAGGGGGAUAACAGUUGGAAACGACUGCUAAUACCGCAUACUGAAUGAGGGGUUUGCGUCUGAUGAGCUAGUUGGAGGGGUAACGGCCCACCAAGGCGAUGAUCAGUAGCCGGUCUGAGAGGAUGAACGGCCACAUUGGGACUGAGACACGGCCCAGACUCAUACGGGAGGCAGCAGUGGGGAAUCUGCCGCAAUGGACGAAAGUCUGACCGAGCAACGGCGCGUGAGUGAAGAAGGUUUUCGGAUCGUAAAACUCUGUUGUUAGGGAAGCGGUAUCGAACGAGAAAGCCACGGCUAACUACGUGCCAGCCGCCGCGGUAAUAG